UAGGAGAUGGGCACAGGCAGCCUGCUGUGA
rnacentral:piRNA from 1 species